GGGUUCGGCUUCUCCAUCACGGUCUCUCUCUCUCUCUCUCUCGCCCUCCCCCAGUCACCGGAGUUCGGCUAAACCACCGCCAUCUCCGCCACUGUGGGGUUCCGACGUCGACCCCUAUAGGCUUCCGACCACAUCAGGAAUGACUAAUAGGAUACGAAGAGAUUGUAAAUCCUGCAGACGACUAUGCAUUUCGAUCCAUCAGCAUUUCUCUUUAUUCAAAAAAUGGCCAAAGACAGCAAAAGCAGCAAUGUUCGUAUAGUUUACAUCAAUUCCCCGUUCAGCAACUCCUGGAGACAACUAUGCAUUUCGAUCCAUCAGCAUUUCUCCUUAUUCAAAAACUGGACAAAGAGUAAAAGCAGCAAUGUUCGUAUAAUGUACUUCAAUUACAGCAAGGAGUUCUCGUUGGCAGGGCUUCACCACUUUCUUCCCCAGAUCUGGAAUUCCCUUCAUUUUCCCAAUGAUAUUGUAUAGCUGAUGGAUCCCCCAAACACUGUCGAUAGUGGUUCUUCAAUUAUUCAUUUAUAGGA